GAUGAACGCUGGCGGUAUGCUUAACACAUGCAAGUCGAACGGUCACUUCGGUGAUAGUGGCGGACGGGUGAGUAACGCGUGGGAAUCUGUCUUCAGGUCGGGGACAACAGUUAGAAAUGACUGCUAAUACCGGAUGUGCCUUUGGGUGAAAGAUUUAUUGCCUGAAAAAGAGCUCGCGUCAGAUUAGCUAGUAGGUGGUGUAAGAGACUACCUAGGCUCCGAUCUGUAGCUGGUCUGAGAGGACGAUCAGCCACACUGGAACUGAGACACGGUCCAGACUCCUACGGGAGGCAGCAGUGGGGAAUUUUGCGCAAUGGGCGAAAGCCUGACGGAGCAAUACCGCGUGAGGGACGAAGGCUUUUGGGUCGUAAACCUCUUUUCUCAAGGAAGAUGAUGACGGUACUUGAGGAAUAAGCAUCGGCUAACUCUGUG
rnacentral:rRNA from 1 species